rnacentral:rRNA from 1 species
UACGAAGGGUGCAAACGUUGCUCGGAAUUAUUGGGCGUAAAGCGCACGUAGGCGGUUCGUUAUGUCGGAUGUGAAAGCCCUUGGCUUAACCGAGGAAGUGCAUCCGAAACUGGCGAGCUAGAGUACGAAAGAGGAUCGCGGAAUUCCCGGUGUAGAGGUGAAAUUCGUAGAUAUCGGGAGGAACACCGGUGGCGAAGGCGGCGAUCUGGGUCGAUACUGACGCUGAGGUGCGAAAGCGUGGGGAGCAAACAGG